UGACGUCACAGGGGCGCGCCCGUUUCUCGCUUGGGUGAUCUGGGCGAGCGUUCCUGGGUUCGCCGCGGCUGCGUUUCCGCGGCUGGCUGCGGUCACUGGUGCCAGUGCUCAGGCGCCCGCCGCCCUUGACCUCCGGCCACGCGAGCCCUAACUCAGCGCAGGAGGACCGGCCUCCGCCGCCAGGCUCUGAUGCUGGUGUCUGGUAGAAGAAGGUUGCUCACAGCUCUGCUGCAGGCUCAGAAGUGGCCCUUUCAACCCUCCAGAGACAUGAGACUAGUACAGUUCCAGGCACCCCACCUGGUGGGGCCUCAUUUGGGCCUGGAGACAGGGAAUGGUGGAGGGGUUAUCAACCUCAAUGCCUUUGACCCCACACUCCCGAAGACGAUGACGCAGUUCCUAGAGCAGGGAGAGGCCACCCUCUCAGUGGCAAGAAGAGCCUUGGCUGCCCAGUUGCCAGUCCUGCCACGGUCGGAGGUAACCUUCCUGGCUCCAGUCACGCGGCCAGAUAAGGUGGUGUGUGUGGGCAUGAAUUAUGUGGACCACUGCAAAGAACAGAACGUGCCCGUGCCCAAGGAGCCCAUCAUCUUCAGCAAGUUUGCCAGCUCCAUCGUGGGGCCCUAUGAUGAGGUGGUCCUCCCACCAGAGAGCCAGGAAGUAGAUUGGGAAGUGGAGCUGGCCGUGGUCAUUGGAAAGAAAGGCAAGCACAUCAAGGCCACAGAUGCCAUGGCCCACGUGGCCGGCUUCACUGUGGCUCAUGACGUGAGUGCUCGUGACUGGCUAACGACACGCAAUGGGAAACAGUGGCUGCUGGGGAAAACCUUCGACACCUUCUGCCCUCUGGGCCCUGCCUUGGUGACCAAGGACAGUGUAGCAGAUCCACACAACUUAAAGAUCUGCUGCCGAGUGAACGGGGAAGUGGUCCAGAGCAGCAACACCAACCAGAUGGUAUUCAAGACGGAGGACCUGAUAGCCUGGGUCUCCCAGUUUGUCACCUUUCACCCAGGGGAUGUCAUCCUGACUGGGACCCCCCCAGGUGUCGGUGUAUUCAGGAAACCUCCUGUCUUUCUCAGGAAGGGGGAUGAAGUCCAGUGUGAGAUUGAAGAACUAGGUGUCAUCAUCAACAAGGUGGUGUGAUGGCUCCUGCACAGGCCCUGGACAUAGGACGGGGGCAUCUGCUCCCACUCGGCCUAGCCCAGGGAAAGGCCCAGUGACAGGACACAGCUGUGUUGUGGAGCUGAGAAGUCUCGGCACAGGCUCCUUCUCACAGUUCUAGCUACAAAUGAACUGCCGGAUGAACUGUUCUAGUUUUUGCUGAUUCUCCCGGCUGGCAAAAGUAGGGGACAGGUGGAGCCUGGGGCCUGCAGGGCUCGGCAUCUGCUGCAGAACCUGGGCCAUGGAAGAUGGGCCAUGAGUACCCUCAGCACAGAGACUGUGUCCACCGGGCCCACGGGCCAAGCCUGUCCCCAGAAACCUGCCGCGAGACCUCUGGCCCCUUCGACCUCAGUGUUUGUGCAAAAGCUGCCUCAAAGCAGCCCUAAUACCCCACCUAGAAGGAUGAACCAGUGAUUUGGGAGACCAAGAGGCAGGAAACCAUCCCAUCUUCUCCAACCCAUCACCAUGUCUGUUGCUGGAAGACACCAAGUAAAUCCCAGGGUCUCUGAAGGUCCAGAUAGCACUGAUGGCGAGCUUUGGGUCCGCACACUCUGGAGAGGAGAGAGAGGUGAAGGCUCUAGGUAGGGAGGACAGGGAGCCACUGGGCACAGGAUUCUCUCCUCCUGUGUAAAGCAGCAGCCAGGGAAGGAUAGAGCUCAGACUGGACAGAAGACCCUCUGAACUCUGCAGCGCUCCUUCUAGAGUUGGGUUGUCACUGUCCGCCAGGGGGCAGCAACCACCAGCAAGCACCGCUGCUCCAGGAGCCUGGGCUGACUGGCUGGGACUCACCAAAGAUCCCUUCUUCCUGGGCGGUGGCCUGGAGGAACUGGAACAGCUGCUCUGUGUAGCCCGACUCUGGAGAAAAGAGAAGACCUAGACCUGGCGCCCUACACGGACAGCCUGCCUCGAGGACUGCAAGGGAACAAGGGCCUCACCAGUAUCGGGCAGCUGGCCCUGGUGGAGGAAGGCGGCAGCCUGUGCAAAGGCCUUGAGCAGUGGGCUGAGCAGGCGGCAGAGGAAGAGAAAGAAGUCUGGGCAGUGUGACUGCUGGCUGAGCUGGGGGGGACAGGCCGGGAUGAGCGCAGCUCCCCACCACCUCCCUACCACCUCCCUCCAGGGGUGGCUUCUUGAAACACACCCUGAAGUACCGGCCCUCAGCCUCUUCAAAGUCAUCACUGUCACUAUCAGUAAAGUCCCCACUCGGUUUCCACAGCA